AAUGGGAUUAGAUACCCCAGUAGUCACGGACGGGUGAGUAACGCGUGAGCAACCUGCCCCCUACUUCGGGAUAAGCCAUGGAAACGGGGUCUAAUACCGGAUAUGAAUGCCUGCCGCAUCGUGGGUGUUGGAAAGUUUUUCGGUGGGGGAUGGGCUCGCGGCCUAUCAGCUUGUUGGUGGGGUAAUGGCCUACCAAGGCGUCGACGGGUAGCCGGCCUGAGAGGGCGACCGGCCACACUGGGACUGAGACACGGCCCAGACUCCUACGGGAGGCAGCAGUGGGGAAUAUUGCACAAUGGGCGAAAGCCUGAUGCAGCGACGCCACGUGAGGGAUGACGGCCUUCGGGUUGUAAACCUCUUUCAGCAGGGAAGAAGCGGUUGGGUUUUCUCAGUCGUGACGGUACCUGCAGAAGAAGCGCCGGCUAACUACGUGCCAGCAGCCGCGGUAAUACGUAGGGCGCAAGCGUUGUCCGGAAUUAUUGGGCGUAAAGAGCUCGUAGGCGGUCUGUCGCGUCUGGUGUGAAAUCCCAUGGCUCAACUGUGGGCUUGCAUCGGGUACGGGCAGACUAGAGUGCUGUAGGGGAGACUGGAAUUCCUGGUGUAGCGGUGGAAUGCGCAGAUAUCAGGAGGAACACCGAUGGCGAAGGCAGGUCUCUGGGCAGUUACUGACGCUGAGGAGCGAAA
rnacentral:rRNA from 1 species